rnacentral:rRNA from 1 species
UACGGAGGGUGCAAGCGUUAUCCGGAUUCACUGGGUUUAAAGGGUGUGUAGGCGGGCAUUUAAGUCAGUGGUGAAAUCUCCAGGCUCAACCUGGAAACUGCCAUUGAUACUAUUUGUCUUGAAUCCUGUUGAGGUGGGCGGAAUAUAUCAUGUAGCGGCGAAAUGCUUAGAUAUGAUAUAGAACACCGAUUGCGAAGGCAGCUCACUAAGCAGGCAUUGACGCUGAGGCACGAAAGCGUGGGGAGCAAACAGG